AUUUAGGAAGAAAUCAAGGUCAAAAGUGUGAACCACCAAAAACAAAAAGACAUUUUUCUCUAUUUCUUUAUUUUUGAAAAAAAAAAUCGAGUACAAUAUAUAUGUAUUGGGGAUUGAACCUACGACCUUCAAGUACUCACUUUAGCAUAUUCGAAUUUAGUGUCUAUUUAGUACUUGGAGUUUAAAAAAAAACACUUUCGUCGCUGAAGUUUGAGAAAUGAUUCUAAAUGGUUCGUGUACUCAUUUUGCAAUGACAUGGCAAUUAACAUGCUAAUUGGACUAUGGUGACUAGGAAAGUUUAAAAUGAGUUGGCAAAUUAUAUUGUUUUUAUGUUAUAAUUAUAGGAUAGGGUUUUUCCAUCCCUUCCACCUUCUUCAACCUCUCUUAAGCAUCCUCCUGUGGCUAGCAGGCAUCCACUUUCGAAAAUCUUCUUUUCCCUUCUCUUAGGUCGUGGCUUUCUCAACAGUGCCAUUGACGUUCUAUGUGCCGCCGAUUCAGAGCAUAGAUCUAUCUGUUUGUCAGAGGCUUAGAAGAUUUCUCUGUCGCACCACCAUUCGGACGUUCAAAGUUUAUAUUUUCUUUUGCCAAGCCUUCUCUUAACUCUUUGGUUCUAUAUUCCACGUUUCUUGUUCCAAUAACAUAUUUGAUUUGGUUCU